CAUAGCCAAGACCUUCAACUGAACUGUGGUAUAAAUCUGGGAUAUCACAUGGUUUUAAAGCAGCUGCUGAAUUUGAGUGUAAAUGAAGCAAGGGAAGGGAAACGUCACUGAGCCACAUUGUAUUAUUGCAGCUUGGUUUAAACAGAUUUCAAAGGUACAAUGUGCAGAGAGGAGGGGAGGAAUAUGUCAAACUGUUUAUACAAAAAUUAAAGGAGAGAAAGUGAACCACCUUCUUUUGUUCAAGCCUGUCCAAAAUUGAUCUGUUUUCAAGAUUUCAAGCAAUUAUCAAGAACAUUUAACUCCGACAAGAAUUGAAAUGUUGUUUAAUACUGCUUUAAGUACUGCACGAAUCUGAAGACAUUUUAAAGCAACAGUUUAUUUUAUUCUAAGAGCAUACUGCUGGAUGCUUUGCAAGCAUCAACUUUGAUCUCAGGCUUUCUUCUGAAUCCAAUUCAGGCUUAAAGACCAUCCUAACAUCAACUGAACCUAGCAAUGUUUCCAAGUUCAGUUCAUUUCAUUGGCUUGUAUAAGCAGUAGGUCAGACCACUGUCUGGGAAUUUGUGUUUGCACCAAACUGGAGAAGAGAAAGUUGUGGGCUGUCACAGUCCUCCAAAAACUUUAGCAGUACAAAUUCCUGGUGGGAUAUUGGCCUGCUGACAGCUGUGAGAAAGAGCAGCCAGAUGAUCAUCAAGUUACAGAGUGCAGCCUGCUCUGUCCCAGAUGAGAAAAAACAACUUUCCUAAAUCACCAGCAGUCCUUUUACAGGAGGCUCCAACCUGGAAGAGUAAUACUCUUCUAUCAGUUAAGUUUCCUGAUUGCUUUUUGGAGCUGGUGCCUGUCAAACAGAAUCCAGGAAAGGAAAUCUGGAGGGUUAGGAGGAGAACAUGGAGGCUGAAGGUGAAAUUGCAGAUCACUGAGACAUCGAAAAACUUGAAAGUGCUUACUGAAGAGCCAUGAAAUUCCACUUUGAGUUUCCAUGCAAUGGUGGGAAGUUCUCUAGCUGAACGUCAAGAUGUUUUUCAGCCACAAAGGUAUUCAAAAGGCAAGAGACAGAUGGAAAAGUCUUGACUCCAGUAAAGCAAGCAAUAUCUUCUCUUGCUGCAAUUGAUGGCUAUUGACAUAAAUACCUUUGUGAUCUUCAAGAGGCAAGGAGUCAGCAGGUGUUGGUCUUUGAUCUACAGAAAUUUAAGAUUACUUCUUAUUCCAAAGUCUAUUCUGUGAAAUAGAUGAGAUGAGUUUACACAUAGAGAGCUCUAAAUCAACAACUUGGAGGAGAGGAAGGGUUUGCUAACACCAUCACAAUCUGACAUAUAAAAAAAUCAGCAAAUGUCUUUAUGCCAGGCAAUAUGACAUGAAGCUAAGAGACAAUCUGCCUCCAAGUCCCUUUUUCCCUCCAUCAUGGGGUUUUAGAUGACAACAAGUGAGCGAGUCCAGACGUAAUCACUAAUUCAGAUCUGGAGGGUCCCAGGGUGCCGGAGUAUUUCCCACCCAGCAACACCCAGGGACAUCAAUGUUUCAUGACUUCUGCUGGGUCUCAAUCGUUGGAGACUGGAAGAGCUGGGCCAUUGUUUCUGAUCGAGAAAGUGAGGACUGCAGAUGCUGAAGAUCAGAGCUAAAACAUGGAUGCUGCCUGACCUGCUGGGCUUUUCCAGCAACACAUUUUUCAGCAUUGUUUCUGAUGCCAGUGUAAUGCACUUUUAUGUGGGAGAAGGAAAUGAGAAGUUGAAGAAAAUGAUGGGUGAUCUCAACAAGAACUCUGAUGCCCAUAUCCUGACUCAAACCAAGUCCUAACCUGCUAAAAUUUCCGACAUUUUACUUAGAAAGAGUUCAAGGCUUUACAUUAUUAUUCAGCCAGAAAAAUCAUAGCCUAACUUCUGGGUAACCACACAGUGGACAACUUCAAACAUUCACACUGAUCCAAAUCAAUACCUCCCUUAAACCCUUGACUAUGUCUCCAACCACCUAACUAUCCAUCCUGACCCCCAAUUAACUCCUGAUUCCCCAAUUACCCAUGAGCAAGACCAUUGGACAUAGGAGUUGCAAUAGGCCAUUCAGCCCACUGAGUCUGCUCCAGCAUUCAAUCAUGGCUGACAAGCCUCCUGAUCUGAUAGCCCAAUCUACUGACUCUGUCCUUCUUAUCGUAGUAACCUGCUCCUGCCGAACAACACUCUGAGAUAUAUGCACUCAUCCAUUCUGGUCUCAUGAACAUCCCCAAGUCUAUGCACUCCCUAAUUAUCUGCCAUUUCUACAGCUGCCCAGUUCCUCAGCUCUGAAAUUCCUUUGAUAAACCUCUUCAAGUCUCUACUUCACAUUUCCCAUUGCAGAUACUUAAUAAAAGCUACCUCUUUGACCAAGUCCAUGUUUAUAACAUGUAGAUCCCCCAUUUUGUGGCUUGGUGUCAAAUCUGAUUAGAUAAGGUCCCUGGAAAGUGCAUUUGGGGCAUUUAAAUGAAGAUUUUUUUGAUGUUAUUGUUGUUGUUGUCCCGAUACCCAGAUUCAUCUCCAAUGGAAUUAAUAUCUAUUGCAUUGAUAACCACAACUGCCUGUUUGUAUUUGCUUGGACUAUUUGUUUGUCACAUUUCCUUUCAAGCAAAAAAGGAUACAAAAAAAGGAGAUAAGAUGUAUUUGCAGCAAGUACUAGCAUUAAAAGACAUCAGUUAUCUUGCAUGAAUGAGCCAAUAACAACUUUGGGAGUUGCAAUCUUGGGGAUGGAAUGUGUCACUUCAUGAGCCAAAUCACUUUAACAUUCCAAGGCCCAAUAAAAGUGGAUCCCUGUGAAUUGCUCUUGUAAGUGAAAUGGGAAAUGCUAUUGAGACCAUCUGUUCAAUCUACUUGGAACUGGUUGCCUUCAUUUUUGAACAGUCCUGAGCUGAUCAUAAUUUCAGCCGCACUAUAUUAAUUCUAAUUAAACUAUAUUCCAUAUAAUGGCACAGUGCUUUCCCGACAAAAUACACAUUGACGCAGGUUGUCAAAGUAAGUUUCUGCCAAUUCAACAUACUUUUCAUGUUUAUUCUAUUGUUUAUUGAUACACUGAUACUGAGGUUAUGUUUUCUAAUUAGGUUUCAGUGUGGUAUCUUUAUUUGGCAAUUUAUGUCCAGGGAUGGUCUGACAGUAGAGGGAGCUUUUGACCUCGUCCCUAUGUCCACAAAACAAAGGAUGCCAGUGUGGCAACAUGAGGCGAAUAUUAACUUUUCGUACAAUAAAAAACAU